AGGGAUGUAGCUCAGUUAGUACAGUGCGAGCCUAACAUUCUUGCAGCCCUGGGUUCUAUCCCAGCAUCACAG
rnacentral:tRNA from 1 species